ensembl:lncRNA
AAGUCUCUUAACAGGAGGUCUUGAUUACUUUUCCAUUUCCAAACCACACAUCAUAAUGGGGAUGGAAUGUGGUUACCAUAAAUUGUUGGUUUACAAAUCAUCACUGACUUGUUAGCAACAGCUAGGAUGUUAGAGUUAGAGCAACAGUUUGGAUGUGAUAAAAUAGCAAGGGCCCAUUUUUCAUGGCAUUGUUGGAAUGAAUAUAAAUGAAUUCUUCCCAGAGAUUCAUUGUGAGUGGAAUAGAGGUCUUGGGUUCAAAAUAGCAAAAUGCAUGCAUUCCACAACAAGACGGCUUUUCCUCGUCAGUCCACUGCUCAAUGGAGGAUUCAGAAAGAAGCAUUUCAGCUUCACUACUUUCCCCUGACCACUGGGAUGUUCAAAAGAGAAGCAUUCAAACUGGUAUCUUGGAAGUGGAUUAAUUUCAGCUUGACAAAGUCGGAGUGGGGUUCAAAAUCAACCUUAAAAUGGAAGAUCUUGCAUAAAGCUAAAUUAUGGAAGAGCUUCUCCAUCUUGUAUUUUCCCUCAGCCAGCUGACAAUAACUGUGUCUCUACUACUGGACAUCUAGAAAACCAAAGCCAAAAAACAGAAAGACAAAUGCCAAAGCCAAACCAAAAGACAAGAAACAGAGACAGCAAAGAAGACAGAGAAAGAAGAAAACAAAACUACCUCACAUACAGACCUUACUCUGAAAGCCCACUGAUAAGACAAAUAGCCUCUGUUAAAGACAGUUUCAACAUUUGGAGAUGACCGAAGCAGCAGAAGUGGCAAAGCACCUAACCUGACCUACUGUCAAGAAAAGCUAAUAAAAAGAAGAUGGGAAAAAUAUGGCAAGCUUGUCACUUAAAAAAGUAAUUUUUAAUACCAAGUGUAUGCAAACCAACAAAAUACUCAGAAGUUGGAUCAGAUCCAUAUCAAAGUAACUCAGCCUAUAAUUACAAGAGAAUCAAAAAACACCAAAGUGCAUAAUAAAGAUACUGUAGAGUACUUUGUCUUUUGUGGAGCAAGCCCAUUCAUACCACCAAAUAAGGAAAAAAAAAAAAAAAAAAAACACGUUAAAAGGAGCUCAGCAUAAUGAUUACCAAAAGGCAACCAUAAUGGAUGGGAAUGGGCAGAACUGGGAAGGACAGAAGAAAAUGGUCUGAAAUUAAUAGCAGUAGUGAGUGAAAAAAAUG